rnacentral:rRNA from 1 species
UACAGAGGGGGGCAAGCGUUGUUCGGAAUUACUGGGCGUAAAGGGCGCGUAGCGGCCGCCUAAGUCAGACGUGAAAUCCCUCGGCUUAACCGAGGAACUGCCAUCCAGACUGCUUUGCUUGAGGCCGGGAGAGGUGAGUGGAAUUCCCAGUGUAGCGGUGAAAUGCGUAGAUAUUGGGAGGAACACCAGUGGCGAAGGCGGCUCACUGGACCGGUUCUGACGCUGAUGCGCGAAAGCGUGGGGAGCAAACGGGG